AUGGAUCCUAGUCAGGUUCGUUACCACGGAGCCACGACGGGGAGUCCCCUGACCCAUUCUGUACCAGGCAGAGCGGACGCUAAAACAACCUGUAAGAAUGUGAAAAGGUUGUGUGACUGGACGUCCCUCUUGCUUGCUUUAUUUGGAAGCAUAAGCAGAGUGGCAUCCCGUCGUGCCCCAGCCUGGGCUGUGCCCGCAGCGCCCGGAAGCUCAAAAUGGAGGCCAGAAGCCAAGUCCACCAGUCACCCCGACUGCAAAUGGGCUGGGGCGCCAUCCCUGGCAUCCUGGGGUCCUUCCGCUGCAGCUCAGCCUUCACGUUCACAGCCAGGACCUCCGGGCAAGGGCUGGAGGUGGAGACAGGGCGGCGCCUGGGCUCGCUUUUCACACCAGAAGUUACAUAACAGAGCAAAACUUGGACUGGCCCGUGUCCCGGGAGACCUCCAGCUUGUUUCUGUCCCGGACAAGGAUGGCCUCGUUCCCGUACUGAGAGUACCACAUGCUUCGGCUCCGGCUCAGGGAAACGUAAGAGGAGCCUCGGAGCAUGUUCUGAAGAGACACCCAAGAACCACACGAGAGAUGACAGCAAGCAGAUCAGCAGUGUCCUGGCCACAGUUUCCUGGGGACAGUCAGGUAUGCCCUUUAUUAGGACAAUGCACCCUCCUGGGGGGGGGGGUCUUGUCAGGUGUCCACUGCAAUUCUGAUACCACCCCUUGGACCGCUUAACUUGAAAAGAUGGAUCUGAAGGGAUGCUGUCCAGCGAGGCGGAAGUCGACAGCAGCUGCUCCAAGUGGCCUCUGCUGCUCUGUGCUUGGGCCGGCUUUCAGCACAGCACAGGCGCUCUGAUUCUUGCCAGGAAUCUGGAACCAGCAUGUGUUCUGUGCUUUUUUUUUUUCCCUCUCCCCUGGCUGGUCUUCAGCUCUUCCCAAGGGGUUGCUACAAAGAAAUGAACACGCUGUCAUGUUGGGGAGGAAAGGGCCAUGGUGGCAACAGCAGGUUCUCAACGCUCUGGGGAUAAGAGCGUUAAGCCCAGCUACCAACACAUUUCACCACUUCAAGGGCGCCCUGGUGAGGCAGACCCUGGGACUGGGUUUAAGGGGUAGGUGCUUCAAUCCCAGAUCUUUUAUUGGCUAAGAACUGGGGGAUCUGGGGGAAAGGCUUGUUGGGGUGUUAGCAUCUGGAUCCGACAGGGCACGGGUCGCGGGGCUCAGAACUGACCUGCCCAUGAUAGGGGUACACCAGCGCCUUCUGCCGCAAGCAUCCGGGAGGCCGCUGGACCAGAAAGAAAAAUGACGUCAGGCAAAACCCAAACAGCGCAGCAUCCACAGCUGCCCCCCGCCCCAUGCUUUCGCAGCCAAGCAAGCUCACUUCUCCUUGCGUGUGGCCUGUGCCCCGUCGCCCAGCCCCGUUCCCACUACCCGCGGCCGCUGAACCCCCGGUGGACCGGCCCACGCCCAGGAUGCCCCCACAGCACGCCCCCACUGCCUCCCCAGCAUCCCGCCCUCCCCCAACGCCGCCCCCGUCACCUAACCCGCGCCCCCCCGCCCCCGUCGUCGCCGCCCGGGCCACCCGCGCGGUGCGGCCUCAGGGAUGCGCUGGCCGCCCGACGGGGCGGUGCCAGCUGGCCGCGGGUCCGCGUCUCCAUGGCAGCGCCGCAGGCAUGCCGAGCCGAGC
rnacentral:lncRNA from 1 species